AGUUCACACCGGUAACUUCACAUAGGUUCAAGAAAUAAGAAUAUUUAAAAGACAAGAGUUUUAGUUAUCCUACUAUCUCUGGAUAUUUACCGUGUACCUCGAAUUAAUUGAUCUUGAGUACUUCAUAAAUAAGAUUUU